rnacentral:rRNA from 1 species
GAUGAACGCUAGCUACAGGCUUAACACAUGCAAGUCGGGGGGAAACGAUAUUGGAAGCUUGCUUCCGAUAGGCGUCGACCGGCGCACGGGUGAGUAACGCGUAUCCAACCUGCCCACCACUUGGGAAUAACCUUGCGAAAGUAAGACUAAUGCCCAAUGAUAUCUCUAGAAGACAUCUGAAGGAGAUUAAAGUUUUAUCGGUGAUGGAUGGGGAUGCGUCUGAUUAGCUUGUUGGCGGGGUAACGGCCCACCAAGGCGACGAUCAGUAGGGGUUCUGAGAGGAAGGUCCCCCACAUUGGAACUGAGACACGGUCCAAACUCCUACGGGAGGCAGCAGUGAGGAAUAUUGGUCAAUGGGCGAGAGCCUGAACCAGCCAAGUAGCGCGCAGGAUGACGGCCCUAUGGGUUGUAAACUGCUUUUAUAAGGGAAUAAAGUUAGUCUCGUGAGACUUUUUGCAUGUACCUUAUGAAUAAGGACCGGCUAAUUCCGUGCCAGCCGCCGCAGUAA